AGAGUGAACGCUGGCGGUAGGCCUAACACAUGCAAGUCGAACGGCAGCACAGGAGAGCUUGCUCUCUGGGUGGCGAGUGGCGGACGGGUGAGGAAUACAUCGGAAUCUACCUUUUCGUGGGGGAUAACGUAGGGAAACUUACGCUAAUACCGCAUAAGACCUUCGGGUGAAAGCCGGGGACCUUCGGGCCUGGCGCGGAUAGAUGAGCCGAUGUCGGAUUAGCUUGUUGGCGGGGUAAAAGCCCACCAAGGCGACGAUCCGUAGCUGGUCUGAGAGGAUGAUCAGCCACACUGGAACUGAGACACGGUCCAGACUCCUACGGGAGGCAGCAGUGGGGGAAUAGUUGGAAAAC
rnacentral:rRNA from 1 species